AUGGAGCUGAUGGCAACAUCUUACUUCAAGGAGGUUUUUACAAAGGACCCGACCCUUUCCCCGGAGUCGGUCCUCGGAAGGAUUGUACCGCGAGUUACACAGGAGAUGAAUGUUGCAUUAUGUGCGCCGUUUAGUGCUGAAGAUGUAUCCAAUGCCCUGUUCCAAAUAGGGCCGCUAAAAGCACCAGGUACAGAUGGAUUUCCCGCUCGAUUCUAUCAACGUAAUUGGACAGUCAUGAAAGGGGAGAUUACUGCGGCGGUCCUGGAGUUUUUCAGCACCGGAGUUAUGCCGGCAGGUGUGAACGAGACACCUAUUGUACUAAUCCCGAAAGUUUCUUUCCCUAAGGAGCUCAAGGAUUUUCGUCCAAUAAGUUUGUGUAACGUGAUCUAUAAGAUUGUGUCUAAAUGCUUGGUAAACCGUCUACGUCCUAUGUUGGCUGAGUUGAUCUCAGAAAACCAGAAUGCUUUCAUACCUGGUAGGCUAAUUUCGAAAAACUCAAUUAUAGCCUUCGAAUGUAUUAAUCAUAUUCAGACAAUGAAGAAUAAUCACCCGGCGGCAUGUGCUUACAAGUUGGACUUGUCAAAAGCGUACGACCGGGUGGAUUGGGACUUCCUAGAGAAAGCCUUGGGCAGGUGGGGUUUUUCUGCAACAUGGAUCACCUGGAUCAUGGCAUGCGUAAGAUCUGUGACAUACUCGGUGAAGCUCAAUGGAAAGUUACUGGAUGAAUUCUGCCCCUCGAGGGGGCUGCGGCAAGGUGAUCCAUUGUCUCCUUUCCUCUUUCUGUUUGUUGCUGAUGCACUGUCUGCUCUUAUUACCAAAUCAGAUGAGGAUGGGGAGUUGAAGGGAGUAACCAUAUGCCGUGGUGCUCCGGAAAUAUCUCACUUGCUUUUUGCGGAUGACACAAUGUUGUUCUUUGAGGCAUCGAGCCAGCAAGCAGGCAUAGUCAAAGGGUUGUUGAACACUUAUACUGCAGCGACGGGUCAACUCAUUAACCCCGAAAAGUGUUCCAUCCUCUUCUCUGACAACUGCAACGCGGUGGUGGCGGAUGAGGUAAAAGACAUAUUAGAAGUUUCACAGCAAGUAUUUGAUCCUAAAUAUCUAGGCUUGCCUGUGCCAGAAGGAAGAGUGCAUAGAGGGCAGUUUGAAACGGUGCAGGAGAGAUUAAGAGCAAGGUUGAUUGAUUGGAGUGAACAAUUUGUAUCUCUGGGAAACAAGGAAAUAUUGAUCAAAGCUGUUGCACAGGCCAUUCCUACAUAUGUGAUGAGUGUCUUUAAACUGCCGGCAUCUGUCUGUGAUGACUUAACACGCAUGAUGAGGCAGUACCGGUGGGGUGUGGAGAAUGGUAAGAGGAAAAUGGCCUGGUUUAGUUGGAAGAAGAUGGUGGUCCCCAAGUCUAUGGGGGGCAUGGGAUUUCGGGACAUGAGAGCAUUCAACCAAGCCUUGCUGGCGAAGCAGGCUUGGCGUUUAUUGGAUUUCCCUAAUAGCUUGUGUGCAAGAUUGCUAAGAGCGAAAUAUUAUCCCCAUGGUAAUCUAUUGGAUAUGGUGUUUCCAACCAGUUUGUCGGUAGUGUGGAAGGGGAUUGUACAUGGUCUUGAGCUGGUU
rnacentral:rRNA from 1 species